CAAAAAAUAGUUUAAUAAAAUGAUAGUUUUGGGGACUAUAGAUGAGCGUGCUCUUUUUUGA
rnacentral:tRNA from 1 species